UCCUACGGGAGGCAGCAGUAGGGAAUAUUGGUCACUGGGUGGAAUCCUGAACCAGCCAUGCCGCGUGCAGGAAGAAGGCCUUCUGGGUUGUAAACUGCUUUAGUCAGGGGAUAAAAUUUCCCUGCGGGGGAAAUUGACGGUACCUGGAGAAUAAGCCCCGGCUAACUACGUGCCAGCAGCCGCGGUAAUACGUAGGUGGCAAGCGUUGUCCGGAUUUAUUGGGUUUAAAGGGUGCGUAGGCGGCUUUGUAAGUCAGUGGUGAAAUACUCGAGCUCAACCCGGGAGGUGCCAUUGAUACUGCAUGGCUAGAGUACAGAAGAGGUAGGCGGAAUUGACGGUGUAGCGGUGAAAUGCGUAGAUAUCGUCAAGAACACCAAUAGCGAAGGCAGCUUACUGGGCUGUAACUGACGCUGAGGCACGAAAG
rnacentral:rRNA from 1 species